CAAGUUUCUGCUUUUCAUGUGGCCUAGCUGAGCCCAGCCUUCUCUGCCAGGAGGAAGCUGAGUAUAGCAUAGCAAUGAGCAGAGACUCUCCCACAGUGAAGUCAGAGGCAGGUCUUUCUUAAAGGGCCACAGACUCUCAGAACUUCCUCCUCUCAAGGACCAGAAGUAGGGUAAAGCCUUGAAAAGACAAAUAUUCUUUUCCUAUUCUGGCCCUUCCAUGGAUCCUAGACUUCUCUACUGUGUGAUCUUCUGUCUUCUUGCAGCCCCUUUUGUGGAUAUGAUGGUUAUGCAGAACCCAAGAUACAAGGUUGCAAGAGUUGGAAAACCAGUGAAUUUGAUCUGUUCUCAGACUAUGAAUCAUGAUGCCAUGUACUGGUACCAACACAAGCCAAAACAAGCACCAAAGCUUCUUCUUUACUACUAUGAUGAGAAUUUGAACAGGGAGACUGACACUGCUAAGAACUUCCAAUCCAGUCGGCUAAACACUUCUUUCUGCUCUCUCGACAUUGGCUCUGCAGGCCUAGGGGAUUCUGCCGUGUACCUCUGUGCUAGCAGUAGAGACACAGGGCUACAAUAUCACCUUCCCUCUGUUCAUAAACCUUUUCCCUUCACAGACCCAAGUAUUUUCUCUAGAACCACCCCUCUUUUCUUGCAACAGUAG